rnacentral:rRNA from 1 species
AGACCCGAAACCCGGUGAUCUAGCCAUGGGCAGGUUGAAGGUUGGGUAACACUAACUGGAGGACCGAACCGACUAAUGUUGAAAAAUUAGCGGAUGACCUGUGGCUGGGGGUGAAAGGCCAAUCAAACCGGGAGAUAGCUGGUUCUCCCCGAAAGCUAUUUAGGUAGCGCCUCGUGAAUUCAUCUCCGGGGGUAGAGCACUGUUUCGGCUAGGGGGCCAUCCCGGCUUACCAACCCGAUGCAAACUGCGAAUACCGGAGAAUGUUAUCACGGGAGACACACGGCGGGUGCUAACGUCCGUCGUGAAGAGGGAAACAACCCAGACCGCCAGCUAAGGUCCCAAAGUCAUGGUUAAGUGGGAAACGAUGUGGGAAGGCCCAGACAGCCAGGAUGUUGGCUUAGAAGCAGCCAUCAUUUAAAGAAAGCGUAAUAGCUCACUGGUCGAGUCGGCCUGCGCGGAAGAUGUAACGGGGCUAAACCAUGCACCGAAGCUGCGGCAGCGAACGUAUCACUUAAAGCGAUUCAGCGGGUUACGAUUGACGGAGCGAAGCGACGUCAAAGCGUAUACAAAGUCGAGUCGGUUUAAGGAUACGUUCGUUGGGUAGGGGAGCGUUCUGUAAGCCUGUGAAGGUGUGUCGUGAGGCAUGCUGGAGGUAUCAGAAGUGCGAAUGCUGACAUAAGUAACGAUAAAGCGGGUGAAAAGCCCGCUCGCCGGAAGACCAAGGGUUCCUGUCCAACGUUAAUCGGGGCAGGGUGAGUCGACCCCUAAGGCGAGGCCGAAAGGCGUAGUCGAUGGGAAACGGGUUAAUAUUCCCGUACUUGGUGUUACUGCGAAGGGGGGACGGAGAAGGCU